GUGAGUCAUCGAAUCUUUGAACGCACCUUGCGCUCUUUGGUAUUCCGAAGAGCAUGCCUGUUUGAGUGUCAUGAAAAUAUCAACCUUGACUUGGGUUUUGUGCUCUAGUCUCGGCUUGGAAUUGGGUGCUUGCCGCUUUUACGAGCGGCUCACCUUAAAUGUAUUAGCUGGAUCUGUCUUUGAGACUUGGUUUGACUUGGCGUAAUAAGUAUUUCGCUAAGGACAUUCUUCGGAGUGGCCUCGUUUCUAGGACGCUUGUCCGCUUUCCAAUACAAGUUCCACCUCGUGGACAUGACUUUUUAUUAUCUGGCCUCAAAUCAGGUAGGACUACCCGCUGAACUUAA
rnacentral:rRNA from 1 species